GACUUGACCUCAAAUCAGGUAGGACUACCCGCUGAACUUAAGCAUAUC
rnacentral:rRNA from 4 species